ACGGGAGGCAGCAGUGGGGGAUAUUGGACAAUGGGGGCAACCCUGAUCCAGCGACGCCGCGUGAGGGAAGAAGGUUUUCGGAUUGUAAACCUCUGUUGACAGGGAAAAUAGUGAUGGUACCUGUUCAGAAAGCCAGGGCUAACUACGUGCCAGCAGCCGCGGUAAUACGUAGGUGGCAAGCGUUGUCCGGAAUUACUGGGUGUAAAGGGAGCGUAGGCGGGACUGCAAGUCAGAAGUGAAAAUUAUGGGCUCAACUCAUAACCUGCUUUUGAAACUGUAGUUCUUGAGUGAAGUAGAGGCAAGCGGAAUUCCUAGUGUAGCGGUGAAAUGCGUAGAUAUUAGGAGGAACACCAGUGGCGAAGGCGGCUUACUGGACUGUAACUGACGUUGAGGCUCGAAAGCGUGGGGAGCAAACAGGAUUAGAUACCCUGGUA
rnacentral:rRNA from 1 species